AGCAGUUGCAGUGCAUUAUUGAGAAGGGUAGCUCAUGUCUUCUGUAUACAGUCUUUCUGGUAUUGGAACCAAUCGUAUUGGAACCAUAAUCACUUCCUUAAACCAAUUACAGACCAUCAUUGAUAGGAUGGAACUCAGCAUCCGAAAGCCCUGGAGGGAACUCUCAUCAACACCAGUUCGAGCGACCAAUGGGAGCGCACUUGAGCUUUGCGGACCUUAGUGAGACCAGUCGCACAAUCCCAUAGGCAUUGUAUGAUCGGGGUCGGUCGGAAUUUCUGACGGAACUCUUUAUAUCAGCUUGGAAUAAAUGCAACGUAAAUUUGCAGAGGAAAAAUGUGUAGUUUAAUUCAGGAAGACAGAAAUCUGGCGACCUUCCUUUUGACGGUGUGAUAUGCCUAUUGUGCUGCACUUGCUUGCUAUAGUGAGUUUCGUAGGAUAGCUAGAUUGGCGUGUUCUUCUAAGGAUUAUUAUUAUUUUUUUACCAGACAAUUAUAUGUGCAACACAUGGAAAUUUAUGCACAUCGUUUAGUUACAAAAUGUAUUUCAACAGGAAAAGUUAGACAAUAUUUCCAUAAACUUGCCAUUGCACAGCUUGUAGGCUAUUCUAAUAAUAGUUUAUUCCAUCGAUAGAGUCAACUAAAAUAGUUUAGCUAUGGCUAGUAAAAAUAAAUAGUGCAGAUAUGUCAUAUUGUCGACGGAUAUGCUGGUACACAACAUUGGGCAGCAGUUUAUCGACUACAAAAUGAGGAUGAUUUGUCACAAUAGUCUUCCUUCAACAGUUUAUAAGACAGUCGUUAUUGCCUAACCAGAGCGAAUUUAUCGCAGCAAUCCAGUGCGCACAGUCUCCCCGGCUGUUAUCCGGCAGAACGCCCAGGAUCCACAAAUCUGUGAAGACAUUCCAGGCCUGAUCCCCUUUUUCCAAAUCUGUGAAGACAUUCCAGGCCUGAUCCCCUUUUUCCAAAUCUGUGAAGACAUUCCAGGCCUGAUCCCCUUUUUCCAAAUCUGUGAAGACAUUCCAGGCCUGAUCCCCUUUUUCCAAAUCUGUGAAGACAUUCCAGGCCUGAUCCCCUUUUUCCAAAUCUGUGAAGACAUUCCAGGCCUGAUCCCCUUUUUCCAAAUCUGUGAAGACAUUCCAGGCCUGAUCCCCUUUUUCCAAAUCUGUGAAGACAUUCCAGGCCUGAUCCCCUUUUUCCAAAUCUGAAGACGAUACAGGAAAUCAAGCAGAACGUUCAGGGAAUAGAAGAGUUCUUUAUAAAAACUUGGAACAACAGUGAGAACUGCUGGUUGUAUUCUCCAUAGUUUUUAUUGACAUGUAUUGAAACAAGUAGAGCCAUCAGUGAUUUCAGCAGCCCCCCUGCCUCCCCUAUCCAUGCCCACAUGCUCAGCAACAGAUAAGAACUGUUUUGAUAAUUGUAUGUAAUUAUAAUUUGUGUGGGAGACGGAGCUGUCUCUAUUAUCACCUGUAACCUCAGACACAAUAACUCCACACAUUUACAUAUUUCUCUCCAAAAAUGCUUUUCUUUCAGUUUUAGGACCAAAUCAGGAAUAAUCAGAGUUAUUGAAGGAAUGGCACAUGUGAACUACAAUGUGCUAUUCAGUCCUCAACCAUCAUAAUGAGACACAACUGAAUUCAAUCUGUAGAGUUACAUCUAAACCUCAAGCUCUUUUCCUUGUAUAUUCUAUACUAGACAUACAUACUAAGUUUGUACAUCUAAAAACAGAGGUACCCAUCCAGCCACUAGCUGUCUAUUUGAUAUAAUACGAUUUGUCGUAACGUUUUAUACUUUCUCCUCAUUUGUGGUAUUCACUGUCCUCUGUCCUUAAUGUAGGGCGCUGGCUCUGUAGCCUUCAGCCCAAUCAGAGGAACAGUAAGUGCCUAUGCAUUUUAGAUAAGACCAUAAAACAUUUAAGUAAAUAAGUGGCCAAUGCAUUAUGUAGUUAGUGACCUGUGAUGUUUAUAUGCCUAGAAGGGCAAUGUCCUGCUUUACAGUCACACAGUAUGUUUACACUACGCCACAGCCAUUCAGUGCCCUGACCCGUCAAGAACCACAACCUCUCCAACUGCCAUUCAAAUGGUCUGCAACAUCUAAAAGCACAGGAACACAAAUGAUUUAGAUUUAUUUAGCACAAGAUUUAUUUAGUACACAUCUUUUAUUAAGCAUAAUAUUGAAACAUUUAGACAUUUAUAUGUAGAGAUUUUCUACUUUUUCAGAGAAUAUUAGUUUACAGGUUGAGUCUAAGUGCAAACUGGGAAUGUAUCCAGCGCCAAAACGACAUGAUUGAAUCAUUAACUGUUUACAUUUUAGGAACAAUGUUUACAGAGGACUGUUGCCCUUAAAACACAGGCCUAUGUGUCAUUUUGUGACAUAUUAUUUUACAAGUGCCAUAACUCAUUGAGGAAGCUUACUUCUUGUCUUCAGCUAAACAAAGCACAACGUGUUCAGGAAUACGUCAUGGUGAAGGUAAAAACCCUCUGUUUGACCUUUCAUCCAAGGAGAUUCCAUCUAUUUUUGUAUUUUUUCAUGUGAAUGUUAUAACCUCAAACUAACUUCACAUGAUUCAAAGUUAGGUUUUGUAUGGUAGAUAGGUUCUAGAACUAGGAGAAGGAAUAGACGAUCUGGGUUUGAUUAAUUUACCCUCGUUUACUCUGUGAGGCUUAUACAUGUCUGAUUUGACUGUAAUGGGAUGCAGAAUAUUAUCGCAGAAGAUGUUGAAGAUAAUAGUAAAAGAAUGAAAUUCAUGUAAAUACCUCUGUCACCAAUGGUUGACACUUACAACUGGUUGACACUCGUGACUUCCAUCUCUUAAAGCAUAUCUAGAAUUCAUUCACAAAGUUUAUCAGACAUUUUAAUUAUUAAAUUAAGAUAUUUUGAAAAUAUGAGUACCAAACAACUCAUACCUGCUACCUAAAUGUUUCAAAUAGUGUUUUAGUGGUUUAAUUCUGAAAAAGGACAGCCUUGUAACAGCGUUGAGUCGACAACAGAAAAUA
rnacentral:lncRNA from 1 species